GGACUCUCCAGGCAGGGCGACACCAUGGUCACAAAGGUGGUUUUCCCAGGACACGCUUUUCCAUGGCACUCCAGAUGUGCAGACCCCUGUCAUUCCCCCAAACGUGGGAAACCCGACAGCAUCAUCUGUGGUAGUGGGGACCUGUGUUUGCACUCUCUCCUG
ensembl:snRNA U1 U1 spliceosomal RNA